CUUGAACGCUGGAGGCAGGCCUAACACAUGCAAGUCGAACGAGUGGCGGACGGGUGAGUAAUGUCUGGGAAACUGCCUGAUGGAGGGGGAUAACUACUGGAAACGGUAGCUAAUACCGCAUACCAUCAGAUGUGCCCAGAUGGGAUUAGCUAGUUGGUGGGGUAACGGCUCACCAAGGAGACGAUCCCUAGCUGGUCUGAGAGGAUGACCAGCCACACUGGAACUGCUACACGGUCCAGACUCCUACGGAAGGCAGCAUGGGGGAAUAGUGCACAAGGGGCGCAAGCCUGAUGCAGCCAUGCCGCGUGUAUGAAGAAGGCCUUCGGGGUGUAAAGUACUUUCAGCGGGGAGGCGUUACCCGCAGAAGAAGCACCGGCUAACUCCGUGCCAGCAGCCGCGGUAAGAC
rnacentral:rRNA from 1 species